UACGUAGGGUGCAAGCGUGUCCGGAAUUAUUGGGCGUAAAGAGCUCGUAGGCGGUGUGUCACGUCGAUCGUGAAAACUUGGGGCUUAACUCUGAGCUUGCGGUCGAUACGGGCAUCACUGGAGUUCGGCAGGGGAGACUGGAAUUCCUGGUGUAGCGGUGAAAUGCGCAGAUAUCAGGAGGAACACCGGUGGCGAAGGCGGGUCUCUGGGCCGAUACUGACGCUGAGGAGCGAAAGCGUGGGGAGCGAACAGGA
rnacentral:rRNA from 1 species